CCCAAGGAUUCCAGGGGAAGGUUCGUCCGCCCUGGGUAAGUCGGGACCUAAGGCGAGGCCGAAAGGCGUAGUGGAUGGAAAGCAGGCGAAAGAUUCCUGCACCCGUAUAUGGAGCGAAGGAGUGACGGAGACGGAUAGUGUGACCCUCUUAAUGGAUUGAGGGCGAAGCGAAGCGGCUGGUUACCAGGCAAAUCCGGUAACCAAAAGGCUAGAGCGUGACAGGUAAGCGAAAUCUUAGGAAAGUAGCGAAGCACAUGAUGACGGCUUCCAGGAAAAGCUUCUGGCAAUGCAUAUGCGGCCCGUACCAAAACCGACACAGGUGGGCAGGGAGAGAAUCCCGAGGUGAGCGAGAGAACUGUUGCCAAGGAACUCGGCAAAAUGACUCCGUAAGUUAGCGAGAAGGAGUGCUUAAGCAAUUAAGCCGCAGUGAAGAGGCCCAAGCGACUGUUUAACUAAAACACAGCUCUCUGCGAAGUCGCAAGACGAAGUAUAGGGGGUGACACCUGCCCGGUGCUGGAAGGUUAAGAGGAUCUGUUAAGAGCGAUCUGAAGCAGUGAUCCGAAGCCCCAGUGAACGGCGGCCGUAACUAUAACGGUCCUAAGGUAGCGAAAUUCCUUGUCAGGUAAGUUCUGACCCGCACGAAAGGUGUAACGAUUUGGGCGCUGUCUCGGCAGCAGACUCGGUGAAAUCUUAGUACCUGUGAAAAUGCAGGUUACCCGCAACUAGACGGAAAGACCCCAUGGAGCUUUACUGCAGCCUGAUAUUGAAUUCUGGUCAUACAUGUACAGGAUAGGUGGGAGACAAAGAGACGUGCACGCCAGUGUACGAGGAGUCGACGUUGGGAUACCACUCUUGUGUGACCGGGGUUCUAACCUGGUAUCGAGAACAGGUACGGGGAGAGUGUCAGGUGGGCAGUUUGACUGGGGCGGUCGCCUCCCAAAGAGUAACGGAGGCGCCCAAAGGUACGCUCAGAUUGGAUGGAAACCAAUCGUCGAGUGCAAUUGCAGAAGCGUGCUUGACUGUGAGACAAACAAGUCGAACAGGGACGAAAGUCGGGAAUAGUGAUCCGGCGGUGCCGAAUGGAAGGGCCGUCGCUCAACGGAUAAAAGCUACCCUGGGGAUAACAGGCUGAUCUCCCCCAAGAGUUCACAUCGACGGGGAGGUUUGGCACCUCGAUGUCGGCUCAUCGCAUCCUGGGGCUGAAGUAGGUCCCAAGGGUUGGGCUGUUCGCCCAUUAAAGCGGUACGCGAGCUGGGUUCAGAACGUCGUGAGACAGUUCGGUCCCUAUCCGUUGUGGGCGCAGGAAAUUUGAGAGGAGCUGUCCUUAGUACGAGAGGACCGGGAUGGACGUACCUCUGGUGUACCGGUUGCAGACCAACUGCACAGCCGGGUAGCUAUGUAUGGAACGGAUAAACGCUGAAGGCAUCUAAGCGUGAAGCCGCCCUCAAGAUAAGAUUUCCCAUUCUUCGGAAGUAAGAUCCCUUGAAGAUAACGAGGUUGAUAGGUUGGAGGUGUAAGCAUGGUAACAUGUUCAGCUGACCAAUACUAAUAGAUCGAGGGCUUGACCA
rnacentral:rRNA from 1 species